UACGGAGGGUGCAAGCGUUAUCCGGAUUCACUGGGUUUAAAGGGUGCGUAGGCGGGUAGGUAAGUCAGUGGUGAAAUCUCGGAGCUUAACUCCGAAACUGCCAUUGAUACUAUCUAUCUUGAAUAUUGUUGAGGUUUGCGGAAUAUGUCAUGUAGCGGUGAAAUGCAUAGAUAUGACAUAGAACACCUAUUGCGAAGGCAGCAGGCUAAACAUAUAUUGACGCUGAGGCACGAAAGCGUGGGGAUCAAAC
rnacentral:rRNA from 1 species